rnacentral:rRNA from 1 species
UACGUAGGGGGCAAGCGUUGUCCGGAUUUACUGGGCGUAAAGAGCGUGUAGGCGGCCACGCAGGUCCGUUGUGAAAACUGGAGGCUCAACCUUCAGACGUCGACGGAAACCGUGUGGCUAGAGUCCGGAAGAGGAGAGUGGAAUUCCUGGUGUAGCGGUGAAAUGCGCAGAUAUCAGGAAGAACACCAAUGGCGAAGGCGGGUCUCUGGGCAGAUAUUGACGCUGAGGAGCGAAAGCGUGGGGAGAAAACAGG